rnacentral:rRNA from 1 species
AGUGAACGCUGGCGGCAGGCCUAACACAUGCAAGUCGAGCGGCAGCGCGUCCGACCACCCUCGGGUGGUCGGAUGGCGGCGAGCGGCGGACGGGUGAGGAAUGCAUCGGAAUCUGCCUCGUUGUGGGGGAUAACGUAGGGAAACUUACGCUAAUACCGCAUACGACCUACGGGUGAAAGUGGGGGACCUUCGGGCCUCACGCGAUGAGAUGAGCCGAUGGCCGGAUUAGCUAGUUGGCGGGGUAAAGGCCCACCAAGGCGACGAUCCGUAGCUGGUCUGAGAGGAUGAUCAGCCACACUGGAACUGAGACACGGCCCAGACUCCUACGGGAGGCAGCAGUGGGGAAUAUUGGACAAUGGGCGCAAGCCUGAUCCAGCAAUGCCGCGUGUGUGAAGAAGGCCUGCGGGUUUGUAAAGCACUUUCAGUGGGGAAGAACGGGCCAAGGUUAAUACCCCUGGCUUCUCGACGUUACCCACAGAAGAAGCACC